AGUGAACGCUGGCGGCGUGCCUAAUACAUGCAAGUCGAACGGAGUGGCUCACGGGUGAGUAAUGUAUAGCUCAUCUGCCCUACACUAGAGGACAACAGUUGGAAACGGUUGCUAAUACUCUAUAGUGUAGGAUGAGGCUUUAUUGUAUCAGCUAGUUGGUGAGGUAUUGGUUCACCAAGGCUAUGACGCAUAACUGGUCUGAGAGGAUGAUCAGUGACCCUGGAACUGAGACGCGGUUCAGACUCCUACGGGAGGGAGCAGUAGGGAAUAUUGCUCAAUGGAGGAAACCCUGAAGCAGCAACGUCGCGUGGAGGAUGACACUUUUCGGAGCGUAAACUCCUUUUGUUAGGGAAGCGGUACCUAACGAAUAAGGACCGGCUAACUCCGUGCCAGCAGCCGCGGGAAUUC
rnacentral:rRNA from 1 species